rnacentral:rRNA from 1 species
GACGAACGCUGUCGGCGUGCUUAACACAUGCAAGUCGAACGGAAAGGCCCUGCUUUUGUGGGGUGCUCGAGUGGCGAACGGGUGAGUAACACGUGAGUAACCUGCCCUUGACUUUGGGAUAACUUCAGGAAACUGGGGCUAAUACCGGAUAGGAGCUCCUGCUGCAUGGUGGGGGUUGGAAAGUUUCGGCGGUUGGGGAUGGACUCGCGGCUUAUCAGCUUGUUGGUGGGGUAGUGGCUUACCAAGGCUUUGACGGGUAGCCGGCCUGAGAGGGUGACCGGCCACAUUGGGACUGAGAUACGGCCCAGACUCCUACGGGAGGCAGCAGUGGGGAAUAUUGCACAAUGGGCGGAAGCCUGAUGCAGCAACGCCGCGUGCGGGAUGACGGCCUUCGGGUUGUAAACCGCUUUCGCCUGUGACGAAGCGUGAGUGACGGUAAUGGGUAAAGAAGCACCGGCUAACUACGUGCCAGCAGCCGCGGUGAUACGUAGGGUGCGAGCGUUGUCCGGAUUUAUUGGGCGUAAAGGGCUCGUAGGUGGUUGAUCGCGUCGGAAGUGUAAUCUUGGGGCUUAACCCUGAGCGUGCUUUCGAUACGGGUUGACUUGAGGAAGGUAGGGGAGAAUGGAAUUCCUGGUGGAGCGGUGGAAUGCGCAGAUAUCAGGAGGAACACCAGUGGCGAAGGCGGUUCUCUGGGCCUUUCCUGACGCUGAGGAGCGAAAGCGUGGGGAGCGAACAGGCUUAGAUGCCCUGGUAGUCCACGCUGUAAACGGUGGGUACUAGGUGUGGGGUCCAUUCCACGGGUUCCGUGCCGUAGCUAACGCUUUAAGUACCCCGCCUGGGGAGUACGGCCGCAAGGCUAAAACUCAAAGGAAUUGACGGGGCCCCGCACAAGCGGCGGAGCAUGCGGAUUAAUUCGAUGCAACGCGUAGAACCUUACCUGGGUUUGACAUGGAUCGGGAGUGCUCAGAGAUGGGUGUGCCUCUUUUGGGGUCGGUUCACAGGUGGUGCAUGGCUGUCGUCAGCUCGUGUCGUGAGAUGUUGGGUUAAGUCCCGCAACGAGCGCAACCCCUGUUCACUGUUGCCAGCACGUUAUGGUGGGGACUCAGUGGAGACCGCCGGGGUCAACUCGGAGGAAGGUGGGGAUGACGUCAAGUCAUCAUGCCCCUUAUGUCCAGGGCUUCACGCAUGCUACAAUGGCUGGUACAGAGAGUGGCGAGCCUGUGAGGGUGAGCGAAUCUCGGAAAGCCGGUCUCAGUUCGGAUUGGGGUCUGCAACUCGACCUCAUGAAGUCGGAGUCGCUAGUAAUCGCAGAUCAGCAACGCUGCGGUGAAUACGUUCCCGGG